GUUUUAUUUUACUAAUGUGAACAAUUUUGCAUAUGAAUGAAAUCUAAAAGGUCAAGAAGGGUUUAUCAUCUCACUGGGAAGUCGAAACUAGCACCUUGGGCGUAAUACAUGACACGAUAAGCUUAUACAAUUUGCGUUCAGUUGUGAAAUCAGACGACGAUUUUUCUAAGACUUCGGAGAAGAGAUCAAUGAGAAAAAAAGGAAUCAGGGAAACAUUCCGAGAAGGGGCCUCUCUUCAAGUUUAGAUGAGAUUUCAAUUUUGAAGAUGAUUCCAAGGAUAACAUACUAUGUUCCCUGCCUUCCCAAAGAGGGUUACCUUGUCUCCAGGGAUGCAAAUGUUUUUGGUUCUACUGUUGGCUUGGUCACAAAAAAAAUGCAUUAGCCCCGAGCUCAGCAUGUGAGCAAGAACACUGUAUUUAUUUGUAAGAAACUAGCGAAGCAGCAGAAACAUUGGCUGAUCUCAACAAUCUCUAAUCAACGUCCCCUUUCCCGAGGUUUCCUUGGGAGUUGAUUUAUCUUUAAUUUGUUAUGGGAAAACUUUCUCCAUUAUAAGCCCUUCACCAAUUAAUACAAAUAUUUUCAGAUACCGUAA